rnacentral:tRNA from 9 species
GGAGAGGUGGCUGAGUGGUUGAUAGCUCCGGUCUUGAAAACCGGUAUAGUUUCAAUAACUAUCGAGGGUUCGAAUCCCUCUCUCUCCU